ACAGCACAAACAUCGCUCCUUCGUACACGCUCCCCAUCGGUAGCAAAGUGCGAGACUCCUCCGUUGGGGCCGGGCCUCCGUCAUCCGCCAUGGUCUGCGCCGGAAUGUAGCCGAUGGCGGUGGCGAGUUUGGCCGCGGAUCCGGAGUCGGGCUGGGCGGUGAGGAGGAGGACGCGGGCGCCGCUGGAUCUGGCAACGCCGCAUAUGGCGUCAACGGUGGGGAAGCCGCCGGGGCCUGCGGAGGCGAGGAGGAGGUCGGAGGAGGAGGAGAUGGGAGGAGCGUUGACGUCGCCGACGCAGUGAGCGGAGAGACCGAGGUGAGCGAGUCGCAUACAGAGAGCUUUGAGCAUUAGGCCUUCGCGGCCGACGCCGUGGACGAAGACUCGGCCCUUAGCGGUAGCUGUGAGGGCGAUUUCGUCCACCAUGACGUCGAGAACCGGCGGUCUGGAAGUGGUUUUGGAGAAGAUUGAGCUGAUCUGGCUGCAGAUCUCUGAGGCUAGGGUGGCCAUUGAAGUGGCUGAGGAAGCCAUAGUUCUGAGCGUUGAUGUAAUCUCAGAGCUCUCUGUAUGUACACACAUAGAGACACCCUUAUCCAGGUGACUCAGCCCAACUGCAUGGUUCACUACAUAAAAUGAGUUCCGUACGAAUUUCUGUGAAAACAUAGAAAAAUUAUUAAAAAUCUUAUAAAAUUUUCAUCAGACAUACCUUCCUACGCAUCUUUUAUUCAAUAAUAAAGCCCUGUUUAGCGAUAAUUUCUAAAAUAAUUUUUUGUUCUUUAAAAAAAAAAGGUUUUUAGAAAAUAUUUUUUAUUUAUUUUUGUUGUUUUCACUUAAACUAUUUUAAAAAGUAAUUAUAUAAAUAUAAAAACUAAAAUAUUAUAAAUAAAAUUUAUUUUAUAAAAGUAACAACAUUUCAAAUAUUUAUUUUACAAAACAUUAAAGAUCAGGUUUUUCAAAAGCACUUAUCAAACAUUUUUUUCAAAAUUAUUUACGAAAACACUUACCAAAUAAAACCUUUUUUUUUCAUAAAAAAGAAUUUAAUAAAAAGUUAAAUUUUAUGAAAAUCAACAUAAUAUAACUUAUAACUUAAGAGAACUUUUUUUUAUAAUAAAAAUCUAGUAAAAUCUUGAAUAAAAUAUUAUUGGACUUUAAAUAUUUACUAAUAUAAUAUAACAUUUAUUUAUAUAUAAAAUAUUAAAUUAAAAAAAAAAGUAAAUCAGAAGUUUGUUGCUAUAAAUAAUGUUGGUAUUGGGUAUAACGGAUAAAGUUGAUAUUACAAAUUUGAAACAUUAUCUCUUACCUACUGAAAAUAACUAUCUCCAUUAUUUACUUUUCUUUUAUUUUACCAACUUUCACCAAUAAAUUAGUUGUAAAUAAAUUUUUUUUUUUUAAAAAAAAUACAAUAAUAAGUGAAGUUGUUCUUAAAGGGAAUCCUAUUUCAAACAUACUCAUUCUAAUUUUUUAAAAUAAAAAUAUGAAUUAUAAAGUGUUGGCUUAAAUCUUCUUCCUAUUUUUGUUUAUAAAUAAAUAAUAAUAAUAAUUUUUAUAUAAAAUACAAAGAAAAAUAGAGACUUGUAUAUAAGAAAAAAAUAAUAAUAAUUUUAAAAUUUGUUUAAAAUUUUGAAGUAAUAGAAAUUUUCCUAUCUCGAAUUUUAAAAUUUUUGAAAAUGAAACAUAUAAUAAGUGAUUCUUCCAAAAAUGAUUUUAGAAAAUAAUUCUCUAAAAAUCACUUCAAAUAGAAAUUCGGUGGAUAUAUUCUUAAUCUUAAGUCUUAUUAAAAAAAAAAAUGAAAAUAGUUUAUAAUUACAAAUAAAUUAAAGAAUAAAUAUUUUUUAGUAAAAUAUGAAUAGUAAUAUUUAUAAAUUAUAAUCAUAGAUUAUUUUUCAUUUAAAAAAAAUAAAAAUAUGGAUAUUAUCAUCUUUGUAAAAGCAUAAUUAAAUUUUUUGUUAAAAAUAAAUAAUUAUAAUUUAAAAAUAAUAAUUAUUAAUAAUAGUUUAUUUAAAAUGAAUAAUGAAUAAAUUUUAACUUUUCUUAAUAUAUAAAUAAAUGAGCCAAGUUUUUUAUCACAUGAUACAUUUAGUACUCCAUUACGAACACAAUAUUUUAUGAUGUUUUAAUUUAACCUAUAAUUAAUUGGAUUGUAUUUUGAAUUUCAAAUUAUUUUUAAACAUUUAAAUAUUGAUCAUAUCUCACUUAAUUUAGAAUUCAUUAACUUCAUAAAAAAAUUUUAAAAAUAUAGUUGUGUAUAGGAGAAAUAGUGAAGUCAUGAAUUUCAAAUUAUUUUUAGAAAUUAUUAAAUUUGUUAAUAAAUCUAAUCCAAAAUGUGACUUAAUUUGAAAUUUAUUUAUCUAGUGAGAAAAUUUUAAAAAAUAAAAUUAUGUGUAGAAAAAUAAUAGAGCCAUUGUGAAUCAAUUUUUAUCCAAAUUUUUUGUAUUAAUAAGUUCGCUAUUUGAGUUUCAAAUUAUUUUUAAAAAUUAUUAAACUCAUCAAUGGAUCCAAAGCAUUAAUUAGUCUUAUUUGAUUCAUUUGUCUAGUAAAAAAAAUUUCGAAAAUAUAAUUUUACAUAGAAAAUAAAUAAUAGUCAUUCUACACUAAUUUUUGUACUUAAAUUUCUAAUAUUAAUUGGAUCAUUGUUUAUGCUUUAAGAUAUUUUUAAAAAUGAAUAAACUUGUAAUAAAUACAACACAUUAAGUUUUACUUGAUUUGAAAUUUAUUUGUCUAGUAAAAAAAAUUUCCAAAAUAUGAUAUAUGAAAAGAAAAAGUUAGUCAAAUCAUCCAAAAUAAAUUUGGGUCUUUUAAUUUUACUUAGAGAGUGUUUGUUUUUUUAGUUUUUUGUUUAAAGUAAUUUGCUUUUAAACUUUAAGUUAUUUAUUUUUUAAAUUUUUCAUAACUUAUUACUUAAAUUUUAAUUUGUUUAGAUGAAAAAAAAAUUCAAAAUAUUUGGCAUUUUCUAAAUGGAAAAAGCCACAUUUUGAAGCCCCUCAAAACAUGGUUGUGACACCCCAACCCCUGACUCUCACCCUAUCUGUGUAGCUUGCUUGCCCACUGGUUCCAUAGCCAUUACCAACAUCCAACUUUCUUGAGGUAAUUUCUUCCCUGUUUUCUCUCUCUAUUUAGGUUUCUCAAGGUGUAAAUUUCUCAUUCAUUCUCCUUCUUUCUCUGUAAAAUAUGUGAACUUCUUUCAAUAGGGCUUUGUAUGAUCUAUGGUUUAUUAUGUUAUUAGGAUCUUGUGGAUUGCUUGAUUGUUGUGAUUUUCGUGAUUUGUUUGGUUAUUAGGAUUUUGUGGUUUGUUUGAUUAUUGAAACAUAAAGAAAAAUAGAAGAAAAAUGGGGUUUAGGGUUGCAAAUCUUUUUCUAAAAAAUGUUUUGGCAUUAUAAGAUAUUUAAUUCUUACACUCAAUUAGUUUGUACCGAAACCAGUGUUUGAUCUUUUGUAGAUUUUUUGAAAGUUCUGCAUUGUUUACAAAGUUGGGUACUUUAAAUUUCAGUGGUUACUCUUAAUUCUUAAGUGGGGUUUCUGUAGAUUGUUGAUGUCUACUUGUUUGGUUAGCCUUUCUGAGCUUUGUUCCCUAUACAGAGGUUUCAAUAACAAUUCCCAUAGAUCGUAGAGUAGAGUUGUUAUUUGGAUAUUGUUACCUUUUAAGGACAAAACCUCCCAACAAGGAUUCAUUUAUACCAUAUACAUCUUCUUGCUAGUACUUCAUCCUCAAAGCUAACCUUAAUUCUCAUUUGUUGGUUAUAUAUUUUAACAUUUUAUGUCUUGUUUCCUUGCCAAUCAUGAUCUACUCAUAGUCGACUCCUUUUGCCUUUCCUUGUUAACUUUCCCUUGAAAUAGUUUAGUAAACUUUCAUUAAUUUAUCAGUUUGUAGUUGCCCAGGAUUUCUUUUGGAAUUGGGGAGUUGAAAAUGUUGCUUGGAUUCUAAAAGGUUUUUGGAAAAAAUAAAUUUUGUAAUUUGUUAUGUUGAAUUUAGAAAAUCACUUUGGAUUUAGUAUUUAUAUUCAAAUCUGAACUAGGUAGGAGUAGAUAUGUUAGAUUGCUCAUUUUAUAUACUUAAAUUUUUUGGGUCAAAAAGAUUCAAUCCUAGCAAAGAUAUGCUUCCCACUACCACAUGGAGUAUGAUAUAAAAAUAUACCCAGCCAACCAAAUGAUAUGCCAAGUUUGAUACUCGUUUUGUAAGAAGAAAUAUGUCUAGUACAAGAUGUGUUCAUCUCACUUGUUUUUUUAGUUUAAAAAAUGGUUUUUUAGAAUAGCUAUCAACCUCUGUCCUGGUGCUGUUAUAGUUUCUUCCACAAAUUGCAUAAAACAAAUGUAAAAUCCCAAUGAAUGAGAAUCACAGUGGAACACAUUGGUGAGCUAGCCUUUAUUUGCAACUCUAAUACAACUAUUUCCUGUCUCACUAUAUGAUCUUCUCCACUUCCAAAGGCUUUUUACGAUCAGUAACAGGGCAAUAAAUUAGUCAUGGUAGCAUCAAAGAACUUAUUCCCCAUGAGAAACCACAAUCAUAUGCUUUAGAACAAAGUUAAAUUUGGGUUGAUGAUAACUUAAUCCCCUGAACAAAGGAACAAAAUAGGAGCUUAAUUUUUUAGAUCUUUGUUGUGUCUUUUUUCUUGUUUAGAGUAGAAUAUAAUCACAUACUUGCCAGAGAUCAUGAGAGUAAUAGAAAUUCCCAAACACAAAAUGAGUUUUCCAAGCACAGCCUUGCUAAAAUGGUUGGUGUGGUUUAGAUUAUGGUUAUAUUACAUUGACAUUCUUAUGGCAUAUUGAUUCAGAUCCAUUCAUAUGACAUAUUUGGUCAUGUUAUAAGUCUCUGAAUUUUUUUUAGUACAUGAUUAAAGUGUCCCAUACCUGUAUAGUGCCCCCACCAUGUUCAGAUUGCAUGGUGAUCAUGAACAAUUUUCAUACAUAUAAAACAACUACCUAGGGAAAUUCUGAAGUUUAAUUACUCCUACUGCAUUCAUGUCUAUUCUCAACAUUUUGUCUGACCAACCAAUGUUGCAAUUUCUUCCAAGAAGAAACCAAACCCACAUAGAUCCUCCUAUUGUUAUGGAGGAUAGCUUUUAUUUCCUGCAUCCUUUAUUUCUUUUAUAGUUCAAUGGAAUUGUUGUUUCUUAUAAAGGGAAAAAAAUAGUGUUGUUUUGCUACUAUGUACUCUUUUUCCUGGACUCAUGCAUGGUAAAUGUUUGUUUUUAUUCAAGUUGUAGAGUUUGUUGAUGUUUCUUCAUUGUCAUAGGACUUUUAAUGUUCACUGUUUGCUAGACUGUAGGUAGGUUUUAUGAAACACUGAUUAGAAGUUCUCUAAUAAUUACAAAUAGAAGGAAAAAAAAUAUGAUAAUUAAAAUUGCAUGAUUGGUUGAAAAAUUGAUUGAUAUAUUUAUCAAAUUAAUUAACAGGAGGGUUGUGGUGCUUCAAACCAUGUUAACAAGAAAGGAGAACUUAUUCUUAUUUUUAUUUUUAUUUUUUUUAUAUUGCAAUAUUAUAAACCAUGCAUGCUUGGAUCUUUACUUAUCCCUCCCCAUUUUUCAAUUUAUACAUUUACUUGGAUUACUUGGUACCUUUAUGUCUCUUUUGCAUUUUUUUUCUCUACAUUUCUAAUUAUUGUUUCAUACUCGGUGCAACUCAUUCUUUAAUACUACUAGUUGAAUCUAGUUUUCAAAUCCCAUUAGAUAUUUUUAUUCUUUGAAAAAUAAAAAUUAAUCAUUAAUGUUGAUUGGUUUUUUGUACAGUAAUGAGUCAAAAUGUUGAAACCAGUAAGGCAAAUUGGACUAACCCCACCCAAAGAAAACACUUUAUUGACCUUUGUCUUCAAAAGGCAAAUAAAGGUUUUACAUGAUCAGGUGGAGGUUUAAAGUCUAGUGCUUGGCCUCAAAUUGCUGAAAAGUUGGAGAAGUUACUUGGAAAACGCGAUACUUGGAAACAACUUAAGAAUGAGUGGGAUUACAUGAAAAUACAAUAUCUCAUUUGGAGUAAAAUGAUGACUAUGACAGGACAUGGUUAUAACUCUAUAACCAAAACUUUUGAUUGGCCAGCUGAAAAAUGGGAAGAAUAUCUGCAAGUAGUUUUCUUAUGGAUUUGAGUGAAUUUUUAAAACAAUUGUCUUAUAUAUGUAUAUAUGACUCUUUUUUUUUUUUGUCUUAUAAAAUAGAAAUAUCUAGAAGCUAACAAUUCCUUUUUAAACCACUAGCAAAUGUGGAGGAAUUAGAGGCAUUGUUUGGAAGAGUGUUAGCUACUAGGUCUAAAAAUUAGAGAUUUGGAGGAGUGAUAGCGUUUGGGGUUGAGGAAUCAUCAACACAUUCUACAUCUUUGCCUAAUGAAACUUUGAUUAACUUAGAGGAAGAUGAGAAUUUGCCAAGUAAUGCUAAUGAUGAAGUAUAAGGUUCUAAGAAAAAACAGAAGAAAUGAAUAGAAUAAUGAAUAUGUUGGAGAAUUUUAAAGGACCCUCAGUGAAGGAAUGCAUGAAGAUUUUGAGGAGAUUGUUGACUUAUGAGGAUCAAUUAUAUUAUGUAGCAAUUAAUGUGUUUUACAAGAAGAAAUAGUAUAGAGAGUUGUGGGUAGAUAUAGAAAGUGAUCAAGAGCGAAUGGGAUGGAUUCAAAGCUUGUGAAAAUGACUUUAGAUAUUUGUUUUGGAUUUAUGAAAUGCAUUGAUAUAUUGCUUAUAUGAUGAUUGUAAUGUGGUACAUUUGGUUUGUUUAUUUUGGAUCUUGGAUGUGUUUCCACUUUUGCAAUUAUAAGACUUUCUCUUUACAUUUUAUUGAGAAGACUCACUCCUAUAUUACUUUCUUUACUAUGAUGAUUUGAAAUAGAUGUGAUAUAAGUUGUUAGUUUUUCAUAGUAAUGGAAGCAUAAUGCAAUGAUAUAAGUUGUUACUUAUACAUUGUUAUAAUUAUUUGAUUAUAUUGUUAUGUUUCUGUUUCAUAAAUAUUGUCUUUUAUAAUAGAUAUUCUUAUGGAGAAUCUUUCACAUCACUCAAACACUUCAAGUUCUUCAUCAGCAAGUGAAGAUGAAGAUACAAAGUUAGAAGUGACAAGAGUUUUAAGAAGGAGAUUGAUUGUGUUAUUACUCCAAUUAUUAAGUGACUCAUCCAUUAAUAAGGAAUGAGUCUCUACAUCAUCAUUUAUAGGUUCACUUUUCAUUCAAGAACUUUUAGAUGGUUCAUCUAGCACAUGUUAUGAACUAAUGCGAAUGAAAAAACAUGGAUUUAUUUCUCUAUAUCACAUGUUUCGAGAAAAAUGAUGGCUUGUUAACGGUAAACAUUUGAAUGUUGAAGAGAAAAUGACCAUGUUUUGAAUGACUAUUAGUCAUAAUCUUUGGAAUCAAUUAAUUAAGAAUAGAUUUCAACACUCGGAUCAAACAAUUCAUGAAUACUUCCAUGAGGUUUUAGUAGCCAUGGUGAAUUUCUUAAAAGAGAUGAUAUCUCCUUCAUCAUUCAAUGAUAGUUCAAAUGGUAUCUCUAAUCAUCAUCUAAGACAAAUUUUUAAUGUAUAUUAUUUUUUAUUACUAAUUAUUCAUAUCAUAUUUGUAUUACUCUCAUUUAAAAAUAAUUAUUUAUAUUUUAAAGAAUUAUUAUCAUGUAAGAUGUUGUGGGUGCAAUUGAUGGAACUCUUAUUCAUGCAUGCAUUCCUGUUGAUCAACAAGUACCAUAUCAAGGUCGUGGGAGAGGAGAAUAUUUUCAGAAUGUUAUGGUAGUUUGUGAUUUUGACAUGAUAUUUAGGUAUGUUGUUGUUGGAUGGGAAGGAACGACUCAUGAUUUAAGAGUCUUGAUAGAAACUAUCUGUAACCCACAACAUAAUUUUCCAAUGCUCCCAUAAAGUAAAUAUUUUAUUUUCAUUUUAUUUAAUAUGAUUUUGUAUUUAUUCAUAAUAAUAAUCAAUUGAAUUUUUUUUCUUUCAAAAAAGUACUAUUUGGUAGAUGCAGCAUACACACACUCGAGGUUUUAUGGCACCAUAUCGUAAUGUACGCUAUUGGUUGAGUGAUUUUCAUAGUUGUGGUAAAGUUGUAGGAAAAGAGGAGAUAUUCAACCAAUGUCAUGCAAGAUUAAGAAAUGUCAUUGAACGUACUUUUGGUGUUGUUAAGGCGUGUUUCCCAAUAUUGAAGAGAAUGACACCUUAUUCUUUUAUUACUCAAACAAAAAUUGUCAUGGCAUGCUUCUCCAUUCACAAUUUUCUUCAACAAAUCUCAAUUGUGGAUAUAUUAUUUUUUGAAUAUGACAAUGAAGUCGAAUUGGAAAGUGAUAAUACAAAUCAAAAUUAGAAUUCAACUAUAGACAAUUUUUUUUUGCAAUAUUUGAUCACGAGACCAAAUUACAAAUGAAUUCUUUCAUGUAUUUAAUUAGCUUGUCAUUUUUAGCUUUUACUAUUUGUAAACUAUUUGUAAGAAAUGUAAUUUUUAGAUAUUAGUUAAAAUGUGAUGUCUUUGGAUAUUUGAAAAUAUGUAUUUGAAUUGUUCUAAUUUUUCUUUAAUUUGAUUCAAGUUUUAUCGAUCAAUUAUUUUUUAGAUUAUUAAAUUUAAAUAUUUUGUUUUAAUUAUAUAAAAAAUAAACAUUUUUUUUUUGUAAGGAUGAUAAUGAUAAAUUAUUUAUUAUAAUAAUUUUAUUAUUUUGAUUUUUUUUAAGAAAUAUGUUAAAUUAAAUUAUUUUUCUUAAUACAUUAAGAUGUUAAGAUAUUGGUUUUUAAAAUCUAAAAAACAAACAGCUUAAUAUUUAAUAAAAAUAAAAUAUUAAAAAAAAUUGAAUACUUAACACUUUUAAGCAUUAUUUAGUAUUAAGUUAAAUAUAAGUUCUAUUUAAAAUUAAGCCAAAAAAACAAACACCAUAUAAGUUUUAUGAUUUUUUAGUAUUAAUUAAAUCAAUUUUUAAGUUUCAAAUUAUUUAUAAAAAAUAAUAAAAUUUAUGUAUCAAAUAUAGUUUGAUUCAUAAUUUAUCUACUUAAUGAAAAAUUUUAGAGAAGUUAAAAAAAUAGAAAAAAAACAUGUAAUUUAGAAGAAAAAAAAAUAUUUGAGGAUUUUCCAUUGUCAAUAUCAUGUUUGAUUUUAUUUUUUUUUAUGGUUCUUUUUUUUUUUUUUAAAUUCUAUAUUUUUAUUUUAUUUUUAUAAGCAUUAAAAACAACCUCUUUUUGUUCAUAAAACUGUUAUCUAUUUCAUUUCAAAAGGUAAUAUUCAACAUAAUUCAUAACAAAUUUAUUUAAUAUGAUUUUUUUGUAGCUAGAUGUAUCAUGUACCAUGUGUAUCAUGGCACAAAUUUGAACACUCUUUAUAUGUAGAUAUAAACAUAGCAGUUCAACUCACAUAUGGCACUGAUGUUUGACAUGACAUAUUGAUUGAGACAUAAUAAUAGCUUAAAUUCAAAUAUGAAAUUGCAAAUUAAUUGCCUGACGUGACCAUUUAAAAAAGAUGGGUCAAUCAUGCUUCCAAGUCUAGAAGAUAUAAAAGAUGCCAAGUCUAACGUGGACAAAAAUGCAUUGCUGAGAUAGGAGAUGAUGUGAAUAAAAGGCUGAGUUGGAAUAAUGGCAAACCAACGUUUAAUGGAAUAAUAUCAUAUGCCUGCCCAAACAAGGCCUUAUAGUUGUUGAAGUUCUAUUCUCACUUCCUCUCUUUCUUUUUUAUAGUGGUUUUCAUAUCGUAUCCCGUAAGCAAUUUUUCAUACCAUAUUCGAUAAGUAAUUACAUUACAUGUAGCGUUACACGAAGCCGCUCUUCAUCUCCAUUUCAAUUUAUUCAUGACUCUCUUGAUUCAAUUCCCAAAGAGGCCCAAGCCUGUACCUCCUUCAACCAUAACUUAGGAAGCUUCAGUGCUCUGUAGACCGAAGAUCCACGCAGCUGAAGCCAACCAUUUUUCUCAUUCCAGCAACAAGAUCAAGAUCCUCAGCCUUGAUAUUUUGCAUCUAACAUAAAUUCUGAAGUUUAAUAAUUGUUCAAAUCUGUGAAAUUAGGAAGGUCCAACACUAUGUGCCUGAAUGAUGGACAUAUAUAAAGCCCAAUUAAAACCCAUGAAAUUCUGCUGGAAAGCAAGCUUGUCAGAUGACACACCAAGAAGAAAAGCAUCUUUACAAGAAAAUUGCAAAAAGCAAAUUAAAAGAAACAUGGAGUCAUAAGAGUCAUUUGGCACUAAAAUACCAGAAAAUUGCAGAAAAUUAAGGCCAGUUAGCUAUGCUUGUGAGCUUAAACCCCAUUGGGCGGUGCUGAUGGUUUCUUAGGCAAAGUUGAGCUGCCUUCUUUUGAACGAGCCCUUGCUGAAGAUGAAUCGCAUCUUCCUCCAUUUUCCUUUCCCUCAUUGUCCUCAUCAGCUUCAUCCUCCAUAAAUGAACCCUGUUUCCGGAGUUCUUUCACUUUUCGGAACUCAUCAUAGUGUGCUCGCCGGUGCUCAUUAAAACUCAUACCGUUCCUGUCUGUUUCGAAGUCUAACGGCAUUGAAAAAGGAGAGCAAAAAGAAAAGGAAAACAUAAAUAAUUGUCAGAAUAGGGGUGGUCCAGAUUAAUUCAAAACCAACCAGAUGAUACUUUAAUUCUGAUUUGUUGGUCACCAUGAUACAAGAACUUUUUACUUGGAUACUUUUUCCUUCUUAGAGCUGCUUCCAGAUUUCCCAUUAGGCUUAUGAAUAAUAAAGCUAUCGAUGAAAUAUGUUGUUUCAUUUGAGAACACAAACAAUGAUGGAUUAUUUAUGCUGUUGAAAAACAUGAGAAUGUUGAAACAGAACAAGAAACAUCUAAGAGUAAUUGGUCUCAGACCUUCAUCAUCUUGUUCCAUUGCAUCUGCCUCAUCGUCAGAUGAUGUCCAGCCACCAGAGAGAGAAGUGUUUCUACUUGAAGAAGCUACAUCAUUCAAAGCAUUUCGUAUUGCCUCUGCAUGAAUGACAUUAUCGCAGCCAUCAUCUAAAUCACCGCGUAUGGGAGAUACAGACCCUAUAUUAAUUAACAAAAAUCAGCUGAUACUAGGGGAGAUAGCAAUACAAUUUUCACACAUAAAAGCUACAGAAUUAGACCUGACAAUGGAACAGAAAUGAUCAAAAUCUAAACCCAAACAAAGCAAAGUGAAUAUCACUUUUAAAGCCAAUCCAAGAAAAACCAGAAAUCCAUGCCUUCACAGUAAGGGUAGAUUUGGGGGUGAAAGUAGGUACACACACUUGCACAUAUACAUAACCAUUUGAUGUACUUUGUAGAAGGAAAGAGAAACUGAGAUCAACAUACCAUGUUCAUCAUCCUCAUCAAUCAUGGGGUGAUAAGGUGUCUUGGGUUCAGUUAUUUUCUGCCUCACAGGUUUGUUUGCCUCAAUUUCACCCAGAUUAGCCUCAUCCCAUCUUACACGUCCCCUGUUAAACAUGCUGGUAUUAGUAUACCUAUCACAUUAACCAUUUAAACAUGGAUUAAAUGGAUAAUAUCAAGCAGCAAACUACCUUCAUAAAACUAUGCAGAUGAUAGAACAUGCUUAUAGCAGAUCAAGGACAAAAAAGGGAAAAGAGGAAACACCCAAACAAUGUUGUUACCCACACCACUAGUCAAUCGAACAUUGGCUGACUGUAGAUUAUCAAGCUAAUUUAUUCUCCCACCUCAAUGAAUUAAAGCCAUUAAUUAAAGGCUUUCUUCAUUAACAUUCAUUAGCAUAUGGCACUAAUCAAUAAUCCUGGAGUAUGUGACAUUCUCUUCCAGUAAAUGGUUGAAGUUCAGAAAAAUGCAUUCACCUGAUUGCAUUGAUCCUUGGUUUUAUACAACUUGCCUGAGAAGGACAACUGUUCAUGGAUCCUUACCACUUUAAAUGAGACAUCUUCCAACCACUGAGACCCAUGUUAGAAAACAAUGUAUCUUAGGCAACCAACCAAAGCUACAGUGAGGUGGUUGGCGGUUCUGGAUCCUUAACACUUUAAAUGAGACAUCUUCCAACUAUUAAGACCCACAUAAGAAAAUGAUAUGUAUUAAGCAACCAUCCAAAGCUUAAGGCCAGAUGGUUGGUGGUUCCAGGUUCACUGACCAGCUCACAGUGAAAUGUCUCAACUACAGAAUUAUGUGCAUUGGAACUACUAGAAUAAACAACCUUAAUACAACAAAAAACAAAAAUCCUAAUUGAACCAGAAUACAUAAAAAAGGAUGGUAUGGAUUACUUCAUAUCUUUGAACUGAUAAUCCCCUCAAAUACGCAAAGCAGACUGAGCAGUCGCUUAUUGACUUGCCUUCACCUGAAAUAAAUUUUUAAACAGAUUUUUAAAACUUCAGGAUCAAACAAAAGGAACUUAGUGUUGCAUAAUAAGAUAAAACAUUCAUAGCAAAGUAAUAGAUUCUAUGUUAGUUAUGGCAGUCCCCUCUUGGCCUAUCUAUAGGGCAGCAUGUGAUAGGUGAGGAGGAGAACUUUACAUUAAUAGAUGCAAUGGGAAAGUAAAAUAAUCCAUUAAGCAGAAGGGGGAAAUUUGCAACAAAAAUGUGAGUACAAAACCAAGCAGCAGAGAGACAACAAGGCAGCACUGUCAUCAAGUAAAAAAUUGGGAAGAACGAUGGGGUAGAUUAGAAAGCCGUUUGCAACUAAGAAUGGUCAAGGGUCAGAAGACUAAACAUAUAGAAUAAGAAUUUAAGGAAAGAAAAAAUAAUAAGAUAUGAAUAAAGUAUUGCAUGUAAUAGAAAAGGAAAUAAAAAUAAUGAUCAACUGCCUCAUAAUGUGAAUGAAACAAGACCAACUUGAAAAUUCAAGAAUAGUUAACAACUACAUUAUUUUUAACACCAAAACUUGUAAUGAAGUUAUUCUGGAAAGGACAAAACCCCAAAUAUAAGGUUUUAAUGAAACAUAAACAACUAAAAAUUGAGUUUCUCAUGUAAUCUAGAAAUUUUUAGGCACAAGUAUGCAAUUCCCCUCAUGUUAUUUUUGCCUACAUUUGUCUCUCCCUAUCAAUUACAGAAUCCCCUUCUGGAAACUAAUGAUUCUAACUUAAAUGUAGAAACAAGUCAAUGAAAUACUCAAUCAAGAAUCAAUAUGCAGAGAACACUAAAUGAGCACUUGGUAUAUAUGUGAUAAAAAAUCCACCCCGUAUCACAAGUUCUCAUAGAUACCAUACAACAAAGGCCAUAUAAAUUCAAUGAACCCUAAAAUUCAUAAAAAAACGUAAGGAAAUGUUGGAACAUCCCAUGAAAAUUCAAUGUUCCCAUUCUAUUUUAUAUACCAAAACUAAGACCAUUACAAAACCCAGAAUCAGUCAACACAACUGAUAGUAGAAUUUUGAAAUUGUGCCAUUUCAUGACAUUCUAAACCUGAAUCCAUCCCAUUAAUUGUACUCCCCCACCCCAACAAAAAAACAAAAAUGCAAUGGAGCCAUUCAAUUUUCAAAGAGGCAACCAAACUUCUAGACCAGAACACCAAAUCCAAAUUCUAAAAAACCACACACCCCUACUCAACUCUGUACUAGGAUAUUAAAAAAAAUAAAAAAUAAAAAUAAAAUAAAAAUAAAAUAAAAAAUAAAUAAAAAAAGGAGAUCACAUACAAAGCUAUUGUUAGCUUAAUCUGACAUCUUAAACUGGUAAUUUAACAUGUUCAUUCCACAUUUGUCACUUUUCAAGCCUAUUUAAAAAAUAAAUCCUUAACAACAAUAAAAAAGAAAAAGCGCAAAAGAAACCAAUUCAGAUUGCAGCUCAGCAAACCAAUAAUAGCUAACCAAACAAACAAACAAUCCACUAAUUCACAUUCAUCACAACAAAUUUUGAGACCUCAAUCAAGAUCUCCAAGAGGAUCAAAAAAGAAUUAUCAAGAAAAAGUUGCUGAAUCGAUGACAAUAGCAGAUCCUAACGCCUCCGUUCAGUAGAUGAGGGAAAAAAAUAUAGGAAAAGUUACCCAAAAUCAGAGGCUUCUCAGCCCUAACCUGUCAUUAAAACAGUUCAACUCUUUUCUUUUUUUCCGGAAAUUUUCUAAGCAACCAAACAGAGCGUAAAAAAUAGAAAUGAAAAGAAAAAACAGGAAGAAGAGUGGAGAGAAAAGUUCCGCACCUGAGAAGUGGAGGAAGAGAAGGUGGAAGGCCUUGGAAUGCGCCUUUUUCAACGUGAUCUCCGUUUUCUAUUUUCCCAAAAUACCCCUUUUAUAAAUAUAUAUAAUCACGAUUGAUCUCCCUGUUUGAGUGGAUAAUGACCGCCAAUGUGUCCCCUUUUCUAUGUUCCCAAAAUACCCCUCUUUUAAAUAUAUAAUCACGAUUGGUCCUCCAGUAUGAGUGGAUCAUGACCGCCCAUUUGUCUGACUUUUUUCCCAAGACUUUGCUUAAUUUUAGGCGGACCAACAUAUAAAAAAGGGAGGAGAAAACAUAGAAGAAAAUAAAAUAUAAAAAAUAAUAAUAAAAAAUUAUUUUUAAAUUAAUUUUUCAUUUAUUAUAUAAAAUUAAAUAAUUUGAAAAUAUAUAAAGUUAAUUUUAAUUAUAUUUAAUUUUAUUUUUCACAUUAAAUCAAAUAUAGAAAAAUUAUUAUUUUUAAAAUCUUUUUGUCUUUCUUUAGAAAAAUUAUGGUUUUGGCUUCUGCUUAAGCUUCUAGCUAAAGGCAAACAUCAAGAAGGUAUCCAAACAAUACAAAAUAUGAAACAUCACACUAUAAACCUCAAUAUUUUAUCAAACCUUCAAAGCUAAAACCCUAAACCCAGGAACUUAGAAAGGUACAAAUGUAUAUGAGAUAUGGACACUGAGUGAUAUCAGCUGGUACAGAACCCAGAAAAUCAGAGGUAAGAAAAACAUCAAAGACAGAAAAUGAAGCUGACUAGUGGCCAUUCAAAUGAAUCCAGACAACCCAAAUAUCAAAGCUCACUUGCUUCAAUUCCCUGAAUUUUCGAAAGCACCAUAGAUGAAUUUCAUGCUAAUUGGUCUGGCGCAACCGACCCUCCUGCACUGACUUUUUCCUUCACUAAUGGCUGUGGCUCUGUCCAAAAAAGAUGUAGAAGACAGUUAGAAUUUUCUUCCAACAUCACCAUCACAGCGUGUCUAAAUCACAAAUAUGGUGUGCCAAAAACAAUUCAAAAUGGGUUAGAAGCUUAAAAAAUAGCAGGAAGGCAACUUGUCAAGAAUACAGUAGAGUGCUAACAUAAUUUUAGGUCAUGCCUCAAGACAAUAAGAUAAAACAGGCAGGUUUAAAGGCCAAAAUCAUGCGCUUAAACAAGGCAAACUGCCUGUCAAUAGCAUCAAAUGAAGCCAUGGUCAGAUCACCCCAAGGGCACCUUCGGCAUCCAGGGGUCGUGAACCAACCAUAGAACCCUGUUCAAUAAGUGGAACGCAUUAGCUGUCCACUGUCCAGGUCAGGCAGUAAGGGUCGGAGAAGUGCAAUCACUCAUUCUUACAACCAUCAUUCUUUAGACCAAAGAGUCGGGCGGAGAAGGGGAAAAACUCUCCAUUCCUGGUUCUCCUCUAGCUAGGUCCUCUAAAACCACAAGAAUCCUUAGUUAUAAUGGGAUUCCAACUAAGCACCUUUUCAGAUUUUGAGAAGAGUUGCUCUUUGGAGAGUACUGUACGAUGAAAGUUGUAAGCAGUGUUCAAGGAGGAAUUAUUGUCUAUCAUUGGCCUCUAUGGUAGAAUCAGUCGGGGGGGCCUGAGAGGCGGUGGUUUACACUGUGGCGGAUGUCAGCGAUUCAAGUCCUCUUAUCUCCAACUCGUGAACUUAGCCGAUACAAAGUUAUAUGAUAGCACCCAAUUUUCCGAUUCAGCAAUUCGAUCUAUGGCCAGUUUCAUCCAACCUCCACAUGCUAGCAGUAGCAAUAGCAAACUUGCUCCAUACUGAAUUGAACAAACAAAUAAGUACAAUUCUUCAACCUAUAAUCACAGAUUCUGAUGUCUUCCCUCAUGUAAUUCCACAAGAGUGUAGGGUAUAAAAAAUUGUAGAUUCAGAACCUGGCUCAAACAACUCCCAAUACUCUUCUGUCAGGAACAGAAAAUUGACAAAUGGCUGGAAAUAAAUCUCUAUAGCUGAAGAUGAAAGAAGACUAACUUCCAUUUUUCUAGGCACUCUAACCUAACUAUGGGCUCACUAUAUUUCCUCCAUUUAUUCUAAGGCAUGAGCCUUGCAUAGUAAUGCUACAAAGGAUUGCGUUUUUUUUUUUUUUUUUGUGCACCAAUCAUUUGAUAUCUGAAGCAUUCCAAAAUGAUUUAUCACAUCUACUUCUUGGAGUACAACAAACUCUACCAUACAAAAAGUGUUUCUCAAGCUUUAUUAAUCCCGAAAAUUAACAGUCAUGGGAUUGCUUGUGCACCCUUUUUUUAUCAAGAGAUAUAGCAGUUGAUGUUAUAUGAGACAAACAAGUGUUCCAAAUGAGAUUGCAUAAAGAAUUUUGGACCAGGAUUUUUUUUUUUUUUUUUCUUAUCAUAAAACAUGGCAGAGCACCUCAGAUAUGAUAAUUGGCAAUUCUAGCCAAUUAAAUAAAGAAUAUCAAAAAAAAAAAUUAAAGAUUCAACUCAUAACCAUCACUCAGCUUUAGAUUCUGUUUACAAGAAGAACAUAUUAAAAAAUAUUUAUAAAAUAAUGUUAAGUUUAUUACUAAGAUAUUAGUCAUCCAUUUGAUGACAUUAAUGCAAGCUUAUUUUAUCACCCAACUCAAGAGCUCAGCCCUACUUGUUUAGCAAGUUAGUUUGGAACUAAGACUCAAGAACAGCUCAUAUAUGCCAAUAAUGCCAAAGAACCAAACAAAAGUAGUUCAGUUUGUUUACAAGGCUUUGUGGAGGCAUGUGCAAAAACACUGAAGCUUUUAGCUUCAUUUAUCUAGCAGGAAACUGAACUCUUAAAAAGAUCAUAUUAAUUCUAAUUUCCUACAAUGUCAUCAAACAUAGACAUUCACCCUUCAUAGGCAAGAACAUGAGGAAGGUGUUCGAACAAGGGAUUUUAAACCUUGUCUGUCAUAGAACCUUUACCAGUUGAGCUACCAAGCAUUUUCAAAGACAUCAAGAAAUGGAUGCUUUCACAGAAUGUGCUUUCAAAACCAUCCAUAGACAAAACUACAGUAGGGGCUAAUUCCUAAUAAGAACUAUUUAGAAAUAGUUUAGAUCUAAAUGUUUUAGGUGAAGAAAGAACAAGGAUAAAUGGUUCAACCAUAUGCAAUGAUUAUGAUGAAAACCUACAAAUGCACCAGUACAGUGGAGUUAAUUAGAUUGAACUUGAAAUAGAUAAACAGAAGAAAUGAGAAAUGGCAUGACUUCCUAGGAUCUGACAAAUGAUGUGGCUCUAUAUAGAACUGGAUAGCAAAGAUAUGGUUAACGAUCCAAACCCAAGAAUUAGAUCCAGGCUAUUUUGGUUUGAAUCAAUGAAUAAUAGUGUGAAAAUCAUCAAUUUGGCUCUGACCACAAGAAGUUGAAACAUAUUGCCAGUCAGACAAAUGCUUACAGAACUUACAAGGGCACAAGUUUUCAAUGCUCUUAAGAUCAAAUGGAUAUGUAACAAGAAACUGAAAAUGCAUAACUUGCGUGGCUCUAUAUCUCAACUUUUCAUUUCCCAGAUAAACUUACACCCGCUUCUCUCAUUGCAUAAAUUUUCAAUCAACCAAUAUCAAUUGCAACAUUUCUCCCGAGUAAUGUAAUGAGAUUAUGAUUAUAACAUCAUGAUGUGUUACCAUAAUAUGUUAUAAGGGUUUUGCAUUAUAAAUUAUCUUAUAUUCUUGACUAAUUCAUAUGUUAUGUAAUUGCAUGCAAAUGAAGCCUGGAUUGUUAUACCGAAAAUAAACAAGGUUUUAAUAAAAUCAAAUAAAACAUACUGGAUAUAAGGGCCUUUGGUCUGGAUUUGAACAAAAUCCGAUGGCGAAUAAUUCCCACUACUUCCAAAUCUACACUAGAUGAUUUACUGUCUCCAUUCUGGUUUGCAUCCAAGUGCCUUGUUUUUUUAAGUACCACAAAUGGCUUCUUCAAUGGCACUUUUGACCCUGACAAUUCAUGAUACCCAACCGUAAAAGUGUAGUUUUCCUGAACACAAAACCCAAAAGAAAAUGGCUGUCAAAGCAUAAAAAUGCUGUUACAAACUCAUGGGCUGCAAUUUCAUGCAAGAAUGCUAAGCACAAUAUAAUAUCAACUGAUAGUAGUUACAAACUAAUCCUAGAAAUACUCGCACCUUAUUUUCGCUUCAAAUAACCAAUACCCUGUUGGUCAUAAAACUCUAAUCUGAUAUUUGUUUGUAAGAUAUGCUUGUAAAGCUUAUAAGUAAAAACCAAAACAAUUUUUUAAUAUCAAAGGUUAGGGCCAUCACCAAUCUUCCAUGCAAAGGACCCAUUAAAAGCACCAGGGCCUUAUUAGUUACAACAUCAUCUUUACAGAAUAAGAUUUGUUUCUUAUAAUACAUUAGUAAGAAAAGCAUUUUUCCAAGAAGGAAUUUAAUGAAUGAAGACUAGUGUAAAAAACUUGGAUUUAUCCAUUUCAUCUGAAGGAAUUUUCUGUCGAUUGCCCUUAAGUUGUGUUGAAACCAAUUUCAACUAGCCCCAAGUGGGGCCCACUUCUUAAUGGAAUUCCAAUAUGUAUUCAAAUUCCUUCAAAAAAUUUCCCUUGGGCCUUUUCCCAACAUCAAACUUUAUCAAUUUCGAUUCCACCCAUUUUCUUUUCUCACAAAUCCCCCAUUCCAAACAGUGUGAAUAUUAGUUCCACUACCAACCCACACCCACCACCCCUUUCCCAGCUCCUAAAACAAACGCAAGAAAAACCCAAUCAACCAUUCAUGCCAAAAAGAAAAACAAUAAUUUCCUCAUACAUUAAGAAAGGAAAUCCAUUCUUUGGAGAGACCAAUAGCAGAAAAUGAAACCAUUUCUAAAAAUAACAGCAAGUUUGGGUGAGGAAAUACCAACCUGUGAAGAAGGGCGGCAAAGUUGUCCAAUUUCAAGGUUCUGGACAGUGCCUUGGAAAGAGGGCUGCACUUCAACUACACCUUGCAACUCUACAAUUGCCCAUUCUGGGCACUUCUCUUCUCCACAACUACACUUCACCUGAAUCUGCAUUUCAACCUUUUUUUUCCCCCUCUUCUUUGGGCGGGUUUCUUCUUCUUCUUCUUCUUUUUUGGUGGUUUUUUGGUUGUGUUUGAUCCCAAACAGAUCAACGGUAUGAUCCAAAAUUGACCAAAAGCAGAGGAGGGAAAGGUAGUGGAGGCAAAGCAAAUGGGUUUUGAAUCAGGGCGGUGGGUUGGGUUAAUGUUGGGAUGGUUCAGUAAUACGACGUCGUUUUAGUGUCGACAAGAAGACAGGAGCAGUGUGCAUUUAGUACUGGCUUACUAAGAUGGGAUUUUGUGAAAAAUGUCAAAAACUAUUUUAAACGAAAAAUGAAUUCCAUUUCCCUUAUUUAAAUGUCAUUUUAUUAUAAAAUAAGAAAUAAAAUAAAACAUAUAAAAAUAAUUUAAAAUUGAAUAUACCCUUAGAUUCUUUGGCUUUGAAAUAAUAAUAAAAUUUGGAAAAAUAGAGAAAAUGUCCUUUCAAUGAAAAUUAAUUUUAUUUUCGUUCAUUAACAUAUUUUUGAAAUUAAAAAUACUAACAAAAAAUUCAUUAACCAAAAUUUUUCCUGUAAUAUGUAAAGCAUGACAACACCACCAAGCAAAAACAUUUAGAAGUGGGAAAAAAGAGGUGAAAGUAUUUUAAAGAACCAAAAAAGAGUGCUUGAACAGAAGACCAAAACAUCAAAAAGCAUUCGCAGGAAUGUAAGAAGAUGGGUGUAUGAGAAGGCCAGACAACUUGAGAACUUAUUGAGUUGUGGGCAUUGAGCAAUCUCCUUGGCAAUUGAUUUCAAAUCCAUAUGGGGAGAUUAUGAACAUUCAGCAGUUAAAGAAACAAAAGAAGGCAGUCACAUGUCAAAAGGCCAGGAAGUGUCUUUUUCUACAUAGUUAAUUGUACAUACUGAGGUCUCUACUAGUAUAUCAACUGUUUCUGAUAUUCCUUGCUUUUAUCUUCACCUCGUUGGUGUAGACCACCGGUCGCACCUGAACUUGGGAAGCUGGCAUUUCCCUCUGGCUGGAUUGUGGGCCCCUGUAGUUCCUUGCUCUUAUCUUCACCAGGUUGGCGCAGCCCCGUCUGACCUGAACUCAGGAAGCGGGCAUUUCCGGCUUGCUGGAAUAUAGGCUGCACAGGUGCUUGUGGUUUGGGUGCUGGAUUUUGGGCCAUGACAUUAUGCUGAAAUGAGAAGUCAGUUUGAUGAAAGUUACCCAACCCCAAGUUCAAGCCAUUGUCUAUUUGGGCUGGAGCUUUUAGAGAUGCUUUGCUUUUAUCUUCACCGGGUUGGUAUCCACCAGUCUCACCUGAACUUGGGAAGUUGACAUUUCCGUCUUUCAGGAAUGUAGGCUGUACAGGUGCUUGUAGUUCAGGUGCUGGAUUUUCUGCCACAUCAUAUUGCUGGAAGGGAAAGUCAGUUUGUUGCAAGUUGCCCAAGCCAAAGUUUGAGCCAUUGUUGGUUUGGGCGUGUGGUGAGCUGAGUUGCUGCUGGAAGUAGUCCUCGAUGAACAGAUGAUCACUCGUAAGAGUUUUUAUUGCAAAUUCAAUACAUGGGUCAGUCCAUGAAUCCCCAAAAGGCAACUCAUGAGGGGGUUCUGGAUUCCCGGCCCCCUUAUUUUCAUCUUCAGCCACUCCAGCAUGCUCUAUGGGAAUAGGACCAUCCCCCAGAGGCAAGGAAAGAGAGCACCCGUGCUUCUCCUUGUCCUUAUUCUCAGCCUCAACCUUUUCAGCUUGCUCUUCUGGAGGAACCAAGUCUUCAACAGGAGUUUUACCACUAUUUGAUUCCAAUAACACUUCCAACUUUUGGGAAGGUUGAAAGGAGCACUUUGUCUUAGGCUCAGCCUCAGCAAUACCUGCUUCUAUCUCACCUGAAUGUCCAGCUGCAACUCGACUACCUCGAUUAGUGGUUUUCAGCUCUGGUGUCACAUCAGCUUCAAGCCCAGCAAGUCGUUUUGAAGCUCGACGUGGCAAGUCAUGAGAUUUUUUGUUCCUGUAAUUGCACAGACCAGGUUGGGUCUUCCUUUUUCCACAAACUUUCGCCCUAUUUUCCAGUGGUUGUUUUUCUGCAAGGGGCUCAACCAAAGGCGCUGAAUCUAACACAUUUUUAGCAUCAUCACUUUUCUCUCCUAUAGGCUCUGAACCCUUGGCUUCUGAGAGGUAUAAGCUGCUCUCUGUGACUUUUGCACCUGCAGCAUACAGUAAAUUCAAAUUGGGUGCUACCUUUUACCAUAUCUCUCAAAGGCUUAUUAUCUAUUGAACCCAUCAACCAAAUCUCCUAUUUUAGGACAAUCAUUCUUGGUUCCAAAUUUCAUGUAGAUGACCAGAGAUAUAAUGGCCUCUCUUGUUCCAAUUUUGAAGUCAAAUGUUCAAUGUGACAAGACUACCUACUAUAGUACCUAUUUCAUGUUCUCAUGAAAAGCCAGUCUGUACAUCACUGGAAAAAAGGCAUCUAAAGUUCAGAUUAGAACAGCUUGCUAAAAGCAGCAUUUGGAUUAUACCUUCUAAGGAUGUCUAGGCAAAAUUCCUAAAUAUGGGUUCCACACAGCCCAAUAUGAUUUUUAAGUGUUUUGGAAAAGCAUGCUUUCACUCAAACACAAUGCAGGAAAUAGAAUGGAGUUUUAUAUAACUUUUUAAAUGUCAAAAUUACCUUUAUUCUCACAAAAGUUUGUUUAAAACAGUGCUCCCAAAUGCAAAAUCAAACGCAUAAAAACAGCAUUGGCUUCUGCUUCUGCUUCUACUACUAAACACCAAAAGCUACAGCUAUCCCAAAUGGGCAUAAUACAAACCAGUCCAUGCCCAAGCAAUUCAAGUGGAAAACGAUAGGGAAAGAAAAAGAAAUAAAUAAAUGGAAAUUUCAAGCAAAACAUAUCAAAUGCAAAACAAAACAGGGUCAUGUAUAUAAAACUAGUGCAAAAAACCUGUGCUCCCCUCUGGGCUAGAACAUCAACCAACUCACUCAACAACUAGGCUUCCAAUUAAAAGGAAGAUAGCAAAAUCCCUCACAAGAUCCAUGAUUCUCCUAAUCUGGUGAACAAACUGCGACCACCUUGUCCCAUCAGAAAAUACACAGGAAAUAACAGUCAAAAAAUCCCCAUCAACAGCAGUUAGAUACCAAGAAAAAGCUCCUUUUCAUCAGUCUUUUUCCAGAAACAUUCCCAUUGAUCUUUUUGAGCAAUUUGGCACAUAGUCUGUCCUAUUCCCAAUUUCCAGAGGUUUUACAUUGACUUCUUCAAUUUUAUCUAUGGAAUAUGCCUGUCCAACUCUCAAUCUAGGGUUUCAACAAACACCUUUGUCUCAGCUUUACAGAGAUUGUUGGUUUUAACACUAAGAAUUUUUCAGGUAUGUCCUUCACACUAAAGAUUUUAUAUGUUUGAUAUCCGGUGUUCCCAAAUGGGUAUCUUUUUUGUAAAUUUUAUAUUUUGUUUGAAUAUUUGAAAUAAUGAUGUAAAUGAUUAACUCUCUGAAGUGUUAUUUAAUAUUUCUUUUUUAAAAUGUUCAAUUACUUGUUUUGAUGUUUUCUUUGGGCUAGAUCCCUCAAUAUUUUACACCUAAAUGUUAUCCCUCAUAAUAGAAAGGAUCACACUAAGGAACCAUGGUAUUUACUAUUUUCAUUUUGGUGAAUUGAGUUCUUAUUUUUCAUUAAUCAUUUCAGUUUAUGGAUAGGACCCUCCUUCCCAAUAUGUUCCAUGUAUAUAAAUUCGAAAUAUGCCAUUUUAGGUUCUAUUCUUUCUUAAUAUGUUCUAUUUUUUUUUUUUUCACUAUCUUCUUUUAUCCCCACAUGUUUGGAUAAUCUUUACUAGUUUUAAUUCAAUAAAAUGGUGUUUUCAUGGCACUUUAUAGGAUUCUAAUAGAUUCAUACCAAAGAUUAGAAACAAAGGAAUGAUAAAGUUAGCGAAUGAAUGAGAGGAAACAAGAAAAGCAUGUCACUGUAAGAACUUUACAUUGAUCAGAAGUAUGUUCAGAAUUCAGUAGGCAUUCACCUGAACAGGCAGAUUUAGGGAUUCCUUCAUCGCUUGCUAUCUUGCCCAAUUUCAAGCUCUGACCCCUUGUAAUCUGUCUUCUUGCUCCACCACCUGCUAAUUCUUGUUUUCUGGGAACAACAGGUGACUAAGAGAAGCAGGAUAGAAAAAAGAAAAAACAAAGUUAAAACUUUCCAUGAAUCAAUGUUAACCUGCAGAAUGAUUUCAAUUGGAACAGCAAAGAAUAAUGAAAAAUAAUCUCAAGAAUGAAAAAGCAAUUAUGAAAUUUGUUGUAGCACCUAAUUUAUAGGAAAAUAAAUGCAAUAGAUAAAUCAAGGUUUUUUCCCCCUUGUCUUCAUAAAUUUCAUGGGAAAACAUGAUGGGAAAUAUGAGGUCAUUCUGUAAUAAAAGCAAAUAAGAUGCUGAAUUCUUAGCCACAUGAAAACACAAAACUAAAAAUUAAAAGAAACCCAGAUCUGAUAUCAUGGACACAAAUCUAUCCUAUUGUAUAAUUUCACCAGCCCAUCACUGCAUCAGAUGAAAGAAAAUAUUGACAAUUCCUUGGAGCAUACAUAAUUCCAUGCUGAAUUGUUUCCAUGCACACCAUUGAAAAUCAUCUUACUGUCAUAAGGCAUCCCAAAUGUAGGCAAGAGUCGAGUUUGUAAGCCAAAUGGUGAUGUAAGAAUCAAGUUCGUAAGGUGAAAGGUGACAGAUUUGGUCUGGGUGAAGUUUCUCUAACAAAUAGUGUCAUCCUAGGCAAAUGGUGUGGAUGUUUCCAAGGAAAGGUGACACUCUUUGCAUUUUAUUGGGGUUUUGAUUGUGAGAUGGUACAAAAAAAACUCAUUUCUAUGAACAUCUGUGGUGGGUUUUAUCUGCCCUUCUAAGUUUCCAAAACUUUAUUUGCUUUCCAAGUUUAGAAAUUCCACCAUCUCCCCAUCUAGACCAUGCACUCCUUUAACAUCUUAGAAUUUUAACUUUCAUCACAAUUUGACUAACAAAGAAAUUGAUGACGACUCUUCCUAAUUGCACUCUUUAUUCCCCAUCUUUUCCCAACAACCAAGUAUGGUAGUUAUCGCCCUCAAGUUUAUCUUUUACUUGUACCUUCUUUCUAGCUUUGACCAAAUAUGAGAGAUGAGUUUCCUUUCCACCAACCAAUUUCAUCUAGAGAUCUAAAGCACCACCUAAAGUAAGAGCUUUUGCAUAGCUUAUAGCCAACAGAAACACAAAUACCAACAUGUUGCAGCUGAGAAGGCACCAUAAAGUCUUUGGCCACAAUUGGUGUCUCGUGCAUAGGAACAAAGAAGACAAUGGAUUUCCUUUUCCUAUACCAUCUAGGGGCAUUGAACUAAUGCCAUGAACUUUUCAGACUCACUAGAUUGGAUUGGGUCCCUUGAAAGGUGGCAUAUAUGAUUGUUUACAUGGUUUGGUCAGGGUGAGGAUGGGAAGUGGAGAGGAAAAGGUUGUUCACAGUAUCUUCUCUUUGCGUUAGGCUUUUACAGUGGGUGGCUUCCUUGUUUUUCUUGGGAUUGUGGUUUGUGAGCCAAGCAAUGGCUUUGGGGGUGUGGUUUUGGUGAGGUAGGAUCUUAUUGCUUGUUUUUCAUGGUUGGUUUGUUAGUCUUGUACUCCUAGCAUUUUAGGGCUUGGUUAUGUCGAUUUGGGAGCCCUAUGGCUUGGGUAGUGGUUUGUUGUUUUCUUCUUUCGCCUGCUUUUUGGCACUGUUUGUAUAAUGCAUGUGUACUUGGCACACCUUUCUUUGUGCUUUAAAUAUAUUUGCUUAUUUACCUACCUUAAAAUAAAUAAAUAAAAUAUAAAAAAAUCAAGAGCAUAGUACCAUAGCAUGUGGCCAUUUUCCAUCAACUCUGGGUGAUCUACUUGGAGACAAAUUCCAAAAGUUUUAAGGAAUUUAUAAUAGUUGAAGACUCAAUGUAAACACCUUUGUUCAUCCUUAUGGACGUCAAUUUUUUCAAACGGCUUAUGUACCUCACUGAGUAUGAUCAUGCUAUAUUAGAGAUCUACUUGUUGCAUGAGUAGGAGAAUUAUGGAGUGCAUAUUAAGUGAGUUCAUCUUCCAUUAAGUUGUCUGAAAGUAUGAUACCCAAGCCUUUCAGUUCCACCCAACAUACCUGUGUUGACACAACAUGACAUAGUUGUAAGUAUGGGAUCUUUGUUGAGCACUCCUAUUUUACUUUAGGUGUGGUUGUUUAUUGAUAUCCUUUUAUUCUUUCAACUUUCUUAGUAAUAAUUACAUUAGAUAAAAAGAAUAGUUGGUUGAAAAAUGAAUUUUUGUAAGAAUAUGUAGACGGAAGCUUUUAACAAGUAUAUUUUUAAUUGAUUUUUCUUUUAUUGCACCAUAUCCCAAUAUCCAUGCUUGUUUUUUUGAAUCCUUUUUAGUAAAGUCUUUGUAUUCUAAAAUUUGAGUUAUAAAGGAUCAAACAUUUAAACACAUACCCACAUCCAACACUCAUACCUAGAACCCUUGCAACAUAGGCUUGAAGUUCUGUGAUGAAUGCUUAUUAGGUAAUCGAGAUCAAUUAAUUAGUGGUAGCAUUUUCCUGGGUCAUAGGGAACCAUGGUUAGAACUUACUCUAAAUCUAAUAGGAAAAAACCGACUAUAGAGACAAAGAUGCUAUCUUUGUUGGAAGACUUAAUCCAUGGCAAGUCCUUCGGGUUUCAAUAACUUCAUAUACAAGGGUAACUCAACCAUAGUUAUAUGAUGGCCCUUUAAAAGGAAAAAAGGGUCUUCAAAGUUAGACUUCCUGUUAUGGAAAGUUUUUGAUCUGUAUACAAAGCUAGGAUGCUCCCUUUUAUGAAUACAACGCUUGGCUUUUAGUAGAUGUCUUGGCCAAGUGAGGUGGUUUUAUGCCAAAGGACUUUGCAAGUGAUCUCAUCCCCAUAAGAGGUUAUUUGCACUUUCUCAAUUGAUUACUCUUUUAGGAUGUCAGCUUUAUUCUAUGCUUUUUCUUGUACACCUUUUAUAGAUUCAUUCGUUUACUCUUGACUUUAAUGCAAUGAAUUUGAUGUUUUUGACCAAACUAAGUAAAUAAUAAUGUCAACUCUUGCAUUAGUACACUCUUGGUGGAGAAGGAUAAGGCCAAGAGUGUAGAAGGAUAAGGCCAUCGGACCAUUGGAAGAUGGUAGGAUCUAAUAACCAGCCAUAUAAGUGCCUUACUUGAGCAAAAUUAGCACCACAACGUAAAGACAGUUUUCCAUGGGAUUAGUAUAGGCAUUAAGUUAGUAAUGUUCCAUGGUUGUAGCUCAAAGGUCAUGUCACAAUGAACUAGAGGUCUUGAGGUCUUGAGGUUGAGCUUUCUCGGUAUUUAAGUGGUAUAGGGUCCAAGCGUUGGGCCCAUAUCUUACUUUCAUACCUAGAGAAAGGGAUUAAUCAAAAAACCAAAAAAACUUAAACAUUA
rnacentral:lncRNA from 1 species